CGCGUCGUCUUAGGGGAGUAGUCGACCUGCAGCUUGAUGCGCAGGAGAAUACGUCAACAUAAUUGAGCCCUCAAUGGCUCAUGGUGUAUUCGUUUCGGGCCACCGAAACUGGCAAGACCUGAGGUAAAGAGCAACCGCUAACUGGCGGGGGUUGCUGUUUGCCUUUGGUACAGGUCCCGCCGGAGU
rnacentral:sRNA from 2 species